GCUGAUAUGGCUCAGUUGGCAGAGCGCACCCUUGGUAAGGGUGAGGUCCCCAGUUCGACUCUGGGUAUCAGCACCA
rnacentral:tRNA from 1 species